UACGGGGGGGGCAAGCGUUGUUCGGAAUUACUGGGCGUAAAGGGCUCGUAGGCGGCCAACUAAGUCCGACGUGAAAUCCCCAGGCUUAACCUGGGAACUGCGUCGGAUACUGGAUGGCUUGAAUUCGGGAGAGGGAUGCAGAAUUCCAGGUGUAGCGGUGAAAUGCGUAGAUAUCUGGAGGAACACCGGUGGCGAAGGCGGCAUCCUGGACCAACACUGACGCUGAGGAGCGAAAGCCAGGGGAGCAAACGGG
rnacentral:rRNA from 1 species